rnacentral:tRNA from 17 species
GCGGAUGUGGUGGAAUUGGUAGACACACUGGAUUUAGGUUCCAGCGCCGCAAGGCGUAAGAGUUCGAGUCUCUUCAUCCGCACCA